rnacentral:rRNA from 1 species
ACAGAUACUGACACUCAGAUGCGAAAGCGUGGGGAGCAAAACAGGAUUAGAUACCCUGGUAGUCCACGCCGUAAAACGAUGUCUACUUGGAGGUUGUGGCCUUGAGCCGUGGCUUUCGGAGCUAACGCGUUAAGUAGACCGCCUGGGGAGUACGGUCGCAAGAUUAAAACUCAAAUGAAUUGACGGGGGCCCGCACAAGCGGUGGAGCAUGUGGUUUAAUUCGAUGCAACGCGAAGAACCUUACCUACUCUUGACAUCCAGAGAACUUUCCAGAGAUGGAUUGGUGCCUUCGGGAACUCUGAGACAGGUGCUGCAUGGCUGUCGUCAGCUCGUGUUGUGAAAUGUUGGGUUAAGUCCCGCAACGAGCGCAACCCUUAUCCUUGUUUGCCAGCGAGUAAUGUCGGGAACUCCAGGGAGACUGCCGGUGAUAAACCGGAGGAAGGUGGGGACGACGUCAAGUCAUCAUGGCCCUUACGAGUAGGGCUACACACGUGCUACAAUGGCGCAUACAGAGGGCGGCCAACUUGCGAAAGUGAGCGAAUCCCAAAAAGUGCGUCGUAGUCCGGAUUGGAGUCUGCAACUCGACUCCAUGAAGUCGGAAUCGCUAGUAAUCGUGGAUCAGAAUGCCACGGUGAAUACGUUCCCGGGCCUUGUACACACCGCCCGUCACACCAUGGNNNNNGGCUGCAAAAGAAGUAGGUAGUUAACCUUCGGGGGGAC